UUUGCGAUAUUAACGUAGCUGUAUCUGC
rnacentral:sRNA from 1 species